GACGAACGCUGGCGGCGUGCUUAACACAUGCAAGUCGAACGGAAAGGCCCUGCUUUUGUGGGGUGCUCGAGUGGCGAACGGGUGAGUAACACGUGAGUAACCUGCCCUUGACUUUGGGAUAACUUCAGGAAACUGGGGCUAAUACCGGAUAGGAGCUCCUGCUGCAUGGUGGGGGUUGGAAAGUUUCGGCGGUUGGGGAUGGACUCGCGGCUUAUCAGCUUGUUGGUGGGGUAGUGGCUUACCAAGGCUUUGACGGGUAGCCGGCCUGAGAGGGUGACCGGCCACAUUGGGACUGAGAUACGGCCCAGACUCCUACGGGAGGCAGCAGUGGGGAAUAUUGCACAAUGGGCGGAAGCCUAAUGCAGCAACGCCGCGUGCGGGAUGACGGCCUUCGGGUUGUAAACCGCUUUCGCCUGUGACGAAGCGUGAGUGACGGUAAUGGGUAAAGAAGCACCGGCUAACUACGUGCCAGCAGCCGCGGUGAUACGUAGGGUGCGAGCGUUGUCCGGAUUUAUUGGGCGUAAAGGGCUCGUAGGUGGUUGAUCGCGUCGGAAGUGUAAUCUUGGGGCUUAACCCUGAGCGUGCUUUCGAUACGGGUUGACUUGAGGAAGGUAGGGGAGAAUGGAAUUCCUGGCGGAGCGGUGGAAUGCGCAGAUAUCAGGAGGAACACCAGUGGCGAAGGCGGUUCUCUGGGCCUUUCCUGACGCUGAGGAGCGAAAGCGUGGGGAGCGAACAGGCUUAGAUACCCUGGUAGUCCACGCUGUAAACGGUGGGUACUAGGUGUGGGGUCCAUUCCACGGGUUCCGUGCCGUAGCUAACGCUUUAAGUACCCCGCCUGGGGAGUACGGCCGCAAGGCUAAAACUCAAAGGAAUUGACGGGGCCCCGCACAAGCGGCGGAGCAUGCGGAUUAAUUCGAUGCAACGCGUAGAACCUUACCUGGGUUUGACAUGGAUCGGGAGUGCUCAGAGAUGGGUGUGCCUCUUUUGGGGUCGGUUCACAGGUGGUGCAUGCCUGUCGUCAGCUCGUGUCGUGAGAUGUUGGGUUAAGUCCCGCAACGAGCGCAACCCUUGUUCACUGUUGCCAGCACGUUAUGGUGGGGACUCAGUGGAGACCGCCGGGGUCAACUCGGAGGAAGGUGGGGAUGACGUCAAGUCAUCAUGCCCCUUAUGUCCAGGGCUUCACGCAUGCUACAAUGGCUGGUACAGAGAGUGGCGAGCCUGUGAGGGUGAGCGAAUCUCGGAAAGCCGGUCUCAGUUCGGAUUGGGGUCUGCAACUCGACCUCAUGAAGUCGGAGUCGCUAGUAAUCGCAGAUCAGCAACGCUGCGGUGAAUACGUUCCCGGGGCU
rnacentral:rRNA from 1 species